rnacentral:tRNA from 1 species
UGUCCCGUGGUGUAAUGGUAGCACAGAUGGUUUUGGUCCAUCUAGUCAGGGUUCAAAUCCUUGCGGGACAACUA